rnacentral:misc_RNA from 1 species
UGUGCAACGCAUCGUAUCGAGGAUCCGCUUUAGUCGCAGCUAGCAUACGUCUCCCGCUUUUAUUCUCAAACGGUUUCAGGUUUAUAUGUAUCGUAUAAAAGCUGGUUGCGUCUCAAACGAAUCGUUUCUAACAAAGCGCAUUUCGCAUUAUACCCAUCGAUUUGAUUUGUACUAGCACGAUCAGUGAAAAUCCGAUCGCUUCCUUUCGUCUGUAUUUAAUUUUGCAGUCCAGCGUAUUACGUGUCGAUGAACAUUGGGAAAGUAAUAUAUUUCGCAAAUAAAUAGGAGAAAGUAAAUAAAUGUAUACCAUCGAUUCGGAGAAAUACAGACACAAUUUCAAAAAGUUAUUACCUAGGAGUGGAAAAAAACUAAUUUCAUUUAGGGUUUUGAAAUGCUUCCCCGUAAAACCGGCAAUCAGUCAGUGACUAAUGCUACAAGACUACGGUAGAAAGGCCUCAGUUCUUUGACGCGAGUACGCAUAGAAAUAAAGUGUCGAUGGAAACGAUGCUUGGCGUUGCACCGAGACAUUAAUAGCCUUUAGACACGGAGUAUUUUAUUGCCGGUAACCUUUCAGUACAUGCAAUCCAGCAGUUCUGCAGCGUUGGCAACCGUUACCGUCAGAAGGUGCACAGUUCCUUAGAGGGAAACGUCGGACGAUGCAUACUUAAUGAGCGGUUCAAUACCACGGUUUCUUAAUGCACGUCGAUUGGAGCAAUUAAUUAUUAUGCUCGACACACGUGAAAUAAAUGUUUGACGUCGGUAUAAAAUUCAUCUAAAUCACUCACGAUUGAUUUCUAUGCGUCACGCAUCGCCAAUGAUACUACAUCAUUUGAGAUUUACCACUUUCGGUAUAUAGAAAUUAAAUGUUUAUUCGAUUACUAGAUGCAAACCAUUCUUUCCUCGUGUUUAUCCUCCAUUAAAAUAUGUAAAAUACCAAUGUAUGAG